GUGGCUGGUAGCUCCUUCACAUUUCCUUUUAUGUAUUUAAUGCUGAUGUAGUAUGAUGACAGGUAAUACAUUCAUCAACAUUAGAGAAGAAAGUGCAGGUUUUGGAUUAAGAGCCGUGGACUUUGAGACGAUCACUGCCCACGGCAUCCUUCAAUCGUCCAACAUGACCAGCAAGACAGCUCCACCAAACAAUCCCAGGACAUCUUUACAGAGACCUGUCUCCACCAAACAAUCCCAGGACAUCUUUACAGAGACCUGUCUCCACCACGUCCCAGGACAUCUUUACAGAGACCUGUCUCCACAGCAACAUCCCAGGACAUCUUUACAGAGACCUGUCUCCACCACGUCCCAGGACAUCUUUACAGAGACCUGUCUCCACCUCAACGUCCCAGGACAUCUUUACAGAGACCUGUCUCCACAGCAACAUCCCAGAACAUCUUCACAGAGACCUGUCUCCACCUCAACGUCCCAGGACAUCUUUACAGAGACCUGUCUCCACCUCAACGUCCCAGGACAUCUUCACAGAGACCUGUCUCCACCUCAACGUCCCAGGACAUCUUUACAGAGACCUGUCUCCACAGCAACAUCCCAGAACAUCUUCACAGAGACCUGUCUCCACCUCAACAUCCCAGAACAUCUUCACAGAGACCUGUCUCCACAGCAACAUCCCAGGACAUCUUUAGAGAUGUGCGAUAUUACAAUAUAUAUCGUAGUGCGAUAUAAAAAUGUUUACCCUAGGAUAUAACCCUCUGUCGUUUAUAUCGUAAUUUUAACAUGUAGGCUACUUUUAGCUACAUGUUUAUCACUGUUGCUACACUAACAUUAACAUACACUACGGUUGUGAUUUAAUACAGCGUGUAAAGCACAACCCAACGUCGGAAUGACCGUUGGAUAUCCAAAUUUUGAGUUCAAAACAAGUUUAUUGUAUGAAGGCAAAUGUAACUGCAGAUACUGCUUUGUGGUAGCAUUUUUACGUCACCCACAAGGACUCGAUUACGGCAGCAGUCACUCGGGAGUAAUCAGAGGCAAAGCAGCAUGGCGGAAACAGAGGAGAGCGCAAUGGAAGACGAAAAUAACAUUACUAGUAACGUAACAUCAGACGUGGAUACAGAAGCAGAAACCCAAGAAGCCGAGCCGAAAAGGGGGAACCGGAAUUCCAUCGUUUGGCUUUUGUUUGGGUUUAAAAAGUCAGACACCGACCAGACAACGUGAAUCUGCAAAACAUGCCGCCAACAAGUUGUUACAAGCGACUCGAACACAUCUAAUCUUUUCUGCCACUUAAAGACACGACAUGAAAAACUGUACAGAGACAGCGAGAAGAUGCGACAAAACACUAACGUUACCUCAAAACCACAAAGUGACGAAAAGAAAAAAAAACACACCAAACGAGCCCGAAAGCUUGGAAUACUUUUUGUUUACAAAUUCUUACUUGUAUUGACAGUUUACAUGGUUAUCAAUUAUAGUGCCGAGAUGUGACUGAUUUAUAUAUAUAUAUAUAUAUAAACACUAAAUCAGAAUAUAUAUCGUUAUCGGGAUAUAAAAUUAGCUAUAUCAAGAUACAACAUUUUGUCCAUAUCGCACAGCACUAGAGACCUGUCUCCACCACAACAUCCUAAAACAUCUUCACAGACACUUGUUCAUUUUUAUGUGAAGAUGCCAAUCAUAUCAC
ensembl:lncRNA